CCUACGGGCGGCUGCAGUGGGGAAUAUUGCGCAAUGGACGAAAGUCUGACGCAGCGACGCCGCGUGUGGGAUGAAGCCUUUCGGGGCGUAAACCACUGUUGCCCGGGACGAAACUCCUUUUUCGAGAGGAUUGACGGUACCGGGUGAGGAAGCACCGGCUAACUCUGUGCCAGCAGCCGCGGUAAUACAGAGGGUGCGAGCGUUGUCCGGAAUCACUGGGCGUAAAGGGCGCGUAGGUGGCUGGGUAAGCGUGUGGUGAAAGUCCGGGGCUCAACCCCGGAUCUGCCGUGCGAACUGCCUAGCUCGAGCAAUGUAGAGGCAGGUGGAAUUUCGGGUGUAGCGGUGGAAUGCGUAGAUAUCCGAAAGAACACCAGUGGCGAAGGCGGCCUGCUGGGCAUUAGCUGACACUGAGGCGCGACAGCGUGGGGAGCAAACAGGAUUAGAUACCCCUGUAGUC
rnacentral:rRNA from 1 species